rnacentral:rRNA from 1 species
UACGUAGGGUCCGAGCGUUGUCCGGAAUUACUGGGCGUAAAGAGCGCGCAGGCGGUCGUUCAAGUCGCGUGUGAAAGCCCCCCGGCUCAACUGGGGAGGGUCACGCGAUACUGAUCGACUCGAAGGCAGGAGAGGGUAGUGGAAUUCCCGGUGUAGUGGUGAAAUGCGUAGAUAUCGGGAGGAACACCAGUGGCGAAGGCGACUACCUGGCCUGUUCUUGACGCUGAGGCGCGAAAGCUAGGGGAGCAAACGGG